rnacentral:rRNA from 1 species
GAUGAACGCUGGCGGCGUGCCUAAUACAUGCAAGUCGAGCGAACAGACGAGGAGCUUGCUCCUCUGACGUUAGCGGCGGACGGGUGAGUAACACGUGGAUAACCUACCUAUAAGACUGGGAUAACUUCGGGAAACCGGAGCUAAUACCGGAUAAUAUAUUGAACCGCAUGGUUCAAUAGUGAAAGACGGUUUUGCUGUCACUUAUAGAUGGAUCCGCGCCGCAUUAGCUAGUUGGUAAGGUAACGGCUUACCAAGGCAACGAUGCGUAGCCGACCUGAGAGGGUGAUCGGCCACACUGGAACUGAGACACGGUCCAGACUCCUACGGGAAGCAGCAGUAGGGAAUCUUCCGCAAUGGGCGAAAGCCUGACGGAGCAACGCCGCGUGAGUGAUGAAGGUCUUCGGAUCGUAAAACUCUGUUAUCAGGGAAGAACAAAUGUGUAAGUAACUAUGCACGUCUUGACGGUACCUAAUCAGAAAGCCACGGCUAACUACGUG